GCUUAAUGUAGUGUUUGUACUGAACAUUCGGCUGAAGAGGACCUUAAUUGGUCCUAGAACGGCCUGAGGUAGAGGGGUUUUAGUCGGUAGGUCCGAGGACUUCUUCCUCGGGAAUCCGACACUACCCAGUCGUACGGACGGCUGGGUGUCUUUUGAAGAUUUCCCCUCUUCCACGAAA
rfam:Agrilus planipennis Contig72697, whole genome shotgun sequence.